GGGUGCGGAUAGCUGUAGAGUGUGCUCUAGCUCAUGAGGGACCUUGCUCCUGGCUUCAGCGGCGGACGGGUGAGUAAUGCCUAGGAAUCUGCCUGGUAGUGGGGGAUAACGUCCGGAAACGGGCGCUAAUACCGCAUACGUCCUGAGGGAGAAAGUGGGGGAUCUUCGGACCUCACGCUAUCAGAUGAGCCUAGGUCGGAUUAGCUAGUUGGUGGGGUAAAGGCCUACCAAGGCGACGAUCCGUAACUGGUCUGAGAGGAUGAUCAGUCACACUGGAACUGAGACACGGUCCAGACUCCUACGGGAGGCAGCAGUGGGGAAUAUUGGACAAUGGGCGAAAGCCUGAUCCAGCCAUGCCGCGUGUGUGAAGAAGGUCUUCGGAUUGUAAAGCACUUUAAGUUGGGAGGAAGGGCAGUAAGUUAAUACCUUGCUGUUUUGACGUUACCAACAGAAUAAGCACCGGCUAACUUCGUGCCAGCAGCCGCGGUAAUACGAAGGGUGCAAGCGUUAAUCGGAAUUACUGGGCGUAAAGCGCGCGUAGGUGGUUCAGCAAGUUGGAUGUGAAAUCCCCGGGCUCAACCUGGGAACUGCAUCCAAAACUACUGAGCUAGAGUACGGUAGAGGGUGGUGGAAUUUCCUGUGUAGCGGUGAAAUGCGUAGAUAUAGGAAGGAACACCAGUGGCGAAGGCGACCACCUGGACUGAUACUGACACUGAGGUGCGAAAGCGUGGGGAGCAAACAGGAUUAGAUACCCUGGUAGUCCACGCCGUAAACGAUGUCGACUAGCCGUUGGGAUCCUUGAGAUCUUAGUGGCGCAGCUAACGCGAUAAGUCGACCGCCUGGGGAGUACGGCCGCAAGGUUAAAACUCAAAUGAAUUGACGGGGGCCCGCACAAGCGGGGGAGCAUGUGGUUUAAUUCGAAGCAACGCGAAAAACCUUACCUGGCCUUGACAUGCUGAGAACUUUCCAGAGAUGGAUUGGUGCCUUCGGGAACUCAAACACAGGUGCUGCAUGGCUGUCUUCACCUCUGGCCUUGAAAUGUUGGGUUAAGUCCCGUAACGAGCGCCACCCUUGUCCUUAGUUACCAGCACCUCGGGGGGGGCCCUUUAAGGAAACUGCCGGUGAAAAACCGGAAGAAGGGGGGGAAUAACUCAAAUUAUUAUGGCCCUUACGGCCGGGGUUACCCCCGUGCUAAAAUGGGCCGUACAAAAG
rnacentral:rRNA from 1 species